CUUACGAGAGUAAAAAAAUAUUGCCGUUUUAUGCAUAUCAUGAUAGAUUAUUGGUUAUUUGGCUCGCCAUCAUCGAUUUUGAUGGGAAGAAAAUUAAGUUUAGAAUAUAAAGAUUUAAUAUUUAAAAUAUGUUUAGUUAAUACUUGUAUAUCAUGUGCGUUAAAAAGAACCUGAGCCGCAAUCAGAUAGACUCAUUACCAUCGAAAUACCAAGAAAUAAUAAAAAUUAAAUAAAUAUUAUUUUUAGAGGCUAAUUGUUUUUGGAAAAAGGUAUGUUAUCUAAUAAUAUAUCUAUAAUUGACCGUCUAUACAAAGUUGUUGCUGAAAAAUAUUAUAGAAACUUAACAAUAAUUAAUGACUUUGAAUUUCCUCACAUAACCAAUUGCAGGUGGAUAUGUUUCACUCGAAAGAAGGUUAUUAUGGAUCUUAUGGGUUUCAUGCUGAAGAUAUAGCUAUUAAUUAUUGUGUUACAAAAAAGAGUUUCUUUUAGUAAUGGUGUUGUACCUGUUUGUGUUGAUUGGAAUGGUGAAUACAAUAUAGUCAAUGGAGAUCAAGAAAAGUUUCAGAACAUGGUGUGGACAAGGGAGACAGCGGUUCAGGCUCAUGCUUUUUAGACUCCAAUUUAUAUUAUUUAACCGGAAUAGUGAGUGUCAGGGAUCCAGAACUGAAAAAUUCAAUUGCAGUGUCCACAGAAGUUAAGUACCACGUUCAAUGGAUUCGUGGACUGUAUAACCAUUAUAACUAAGUUAAAUAUAAUUAAGGUAAUGUUUUUCCAAUUGUAUAUUAAAUAUAUAUUUAUAUAUUUUGUAUAAUUAGUUUUUUUCUUAUGUGUAACAAUUUUUAACAGUUCUUAUAAUUGUUCAUUAAAAUUAAUCAUAAUAGGUACGUAUGUACUCAUUUUGUUUGUACACACAUUAUUAUAUGUAAGCCAAAUAACACUCACUCACUCACCCACUCACUCACUCACUCAUUCACUCAUCGCUACAUCUUUAGGUACUCGUAACCUACUGUACAUCAGAGUGGUAUUCACUUGCCCAGUUGUUCAAUUGUAACAUGCACCAAAAUGUAUGCAAACUUUAGUACAGAAUCUCACGGUAUUCGAUCAUUACAUACAAAUGGACAACGGUCGAUAGUGAUAGGUACAGUAAUUCACUUUAAAUUAUAUUUAAUUAAUUUUCAUUCUUUCUUAAAUUCGCUGCACGAAGAUUUUACCAAGAACUAUUAAUUUUGGAGCAAUAAUUGAUCCUCCACUCAUCUCAAAUCAUGAUUAGAAUUUCUUUUAUUUAAUCGAUAUAUACCAACAUUCCAAGGUGCCGUUCCAACAAGUGCUUUUUCACCAUUGUUUAUCAAUACUUUGCUGAUGAUAUAUACUUUACCGCAAUCUAAAAUAAUAUUUUAAAAUAAAAAUAAAUGAUAAUAAUACAGAGAGGAUACAGUAAAAGUUAAGGAAAUUAGUAAUAUUUAUAGAAAUUAAAGACUUAUCUUUAUGAGGUAAAAAAUACAAUUACAUGUAUUGCAUAUAUAUAGUUGUUUAUUCCACAUUCCAUUAGACUGACAAAGUAAUUCUAGUGGAGUAUGUUCUUGUCAAUUUGGUUCACUUUAUAUUAGCUUCUAUUAUGGUGUUUCUAUUGUAUCGGGUUAGCCUAGAGCAAUUAGCUAAUUAGCAUAAUUACCAUUUAAGGUAAAUUCAAUAUCUAUAGUAUCUGAUAGUGGAGGAGGAUACAUUUCUAUCAACAUAAACAAACUAUAAUCAUCAUAACCAAAAAUCGAACUCAUUAUAUUAAAAUAAGUAAUUAUUACAACUUACAAUACAGAACUUACUCAAACAUAAUUCAUUAGAAACCGUAAUAAGAUGCCGUUCCAACAAAUGCUGGUUCACCUUUGUACAAUCAAUACCUACUUGAUUUAUGUUAUAGUCCUAAUUCGUAUUUGAUUUUAGAUUCUGAGCGGAGCGAUGAAUGUAUUGAUUUUACAAUGAUGCGUGUUUUUUAUUUUAAAUUAGUUUUUUUAUUUUUGUGUCUGUGUACACGAUUAGUAGUCGAAAUAAUGCUUAGAUUUUCAACUUCAGUAUUUUGUUCGAUGGGAAAGUGAAUCUAGUUGGUACUUUUGGGAGGUCAAAAUUUAAAAUUCCCAAUCAUUUUCAAAAGCACCCGGAAAAACAAAAUAAAAAUUAAGGAAAAACGGGAAUUUUUACGCAAAAUCGAUUUUGGCUUUUGGUGGAACUCUAAAACAAAUGAUCGUAAAUACAUGACAUUUUCACUGAAUGUUUUAUUAACCUUUUCUAUACAUAAAAAAUUUUUCAAAAUAUUUUGACUUGUUUUGAGCUUUUAAUCUGUUGGGCCAAAAAGUGUAAAAAUGUAAUACAAGGCUCCUGAGGCUAUUGUUACAAUAGCAGUUGAAAAAUAUUAAAAAUACAUAGGCACAAUUUUUUUUUGUAAACAUUUAAUGAUCGAAUUUUGUCAAAAUUUAUCAAAUUUUAAAUUGAAUAAUUAUUUUGUAGUUAAAAAUGUAUAAAAUGUUCAACUUUUAUAUCUAAAGAUUGAUAAUUUAAAACAAGAUUCCUCGUAAGUAGUUAAUUAUGUUACCAAACAAUUUAAAAAAUACAUAAACACAGUUUAUUUUUAUAGUCAUUUUAAGUUCAAAUUUGGACGAAAUUACAAUAUAUUAAAAAACCUAGAAUAUUUUUUUUUAGUUAUUUUGUUGUGAUUGUAUAAUAUUAUUCGUGGGUACUUGCAGAAACUUCUUAAGUAUACUAUUAUAUAUCUAUGAUAGUAUAACGGUUUGUUGUUGAUGUAUAACGCGUUAUAAGUACCUAAUGGAUAUUGUGAUAUGAUUAAUUUGGAAUUUUUAUAGGUACCUAUUAUAGGUCAAUUAUUUUUUUAAUACCAUAGAUAAGUAUAUAAUAUGUCUUAAACUUAGACUGACAUACCGUCCCCACUCAGAAUCGUUUUCUUAUACAAUGAUAUUAUAUCAUUGAAUUCAAAUUUAAUACCAUCCAUUAUACGGUGACCCACUUGUAACCUACUGUACAGCAGAGUGACAUCCACCUGCCCACCUUUUUUUAUUAGUUUUGUUGUACCAUAAUAUGGUUUUUAUAUAAAUGUUUAUCUAUAUUAUAAAGAAUACAGAUACUUUUGUAAUAUUUAUAGUAUGUCCAGUUUUAAUUUUUUUUAAGGUUUUUAUUUUGUUAUAAUUUGAAAGAUAAUAAAAAAUAUAAUAAUAUAAUAUUAUGUAAUAAUAAUAUAAUGAUUAAAUAAUUAAUAAUAAAUAAUAUUAAAAUAUUAUUUAACUAGGUAUUUAUAAUUAUUAUUAAUUUUGUGUAUCCUAAAAAUGAUCCAUAAGUAUUGACAAUAUUGUACAAUAGGAUAAUCUUUUUUUUCAUUUUAUAAUAGUCAUAUACUAACUGAAAGUACCACUUCACGUUUAAAAUUAUAUUGACACCCCUUGGAACUGA